GUUUUUGUUGCUGUGGUUCUGGUCUGUUUCAUGUGCCAGGGACCUCAGAAGCCAUUUCAGUAUCUGAGAGCAGGGGUGGCAGGCUUGGACUUCCAGCUUAAUUCAGAGUGAGUAGGAAACCUAGACAAAAUCCUGAGAAGUGCCUUAGCAGAACACCCAUCACAGGCAGGUGGAGGAGGAGGAUGGAGAGGAAUGAGCACAGAUGCCUUUUCUGCAUGCACCGAGUGCUGUCUCUGGACAAGACCUACUGGCAGUAAACACUGCUUGAUCAACUGUUCCUGACUGCUGCCACCUCCUCAUCUUAUGUUGCUAACACCUGUCAGCUCAGCCAAAAUCUGUCAGCAGAGGUCCAAGUGCACUUCCUGACUUGCCAGCCCACCCAAAACAUCCUAGCCAUCCCAGCUGGCUUUCCUCAACUUUCACACAGUGCUUACUGGAUCAGGAUUAGAGCUGCCAAACUAUGCCAAAGGCUGCGGUUGAGUUUCUAUUAUAAGUCUGCUUUCUGGCUUCUCCCCCAGACUGUGAAAGGCUUCAUAUAAGGAGGCAAAAUCCAUAGGAUGUGAUGGUCUAUAGCAAUCUCCAGCUCUGUACCAGUGAUACCAGCUGGUCUCAGGCAUGCAAGGAACUGCAGAACCAUCCCAACAAGAUCUGCUCUAUCUGGGAGAUGAUGGGACUGAGGGACCAGCUCCUGGGAGAGGGCAGAUCCAAGUCUGCAGGAACCAUUACCUGCCCAAGCUGCAUAUUAGCAACAGUACAGAGCCAGGCCGACUGUCUUUGUACUUGACCCUCCUUUUCCUCCAGCACAGAGGUGCAAGUCUGAGAGUCUGAGUCUGUGCCUGCUGGCCUCCUGCUCACCCAGAACAGUUGUGUGCUGGGAUGAGAGGCUGGAUGCACCUGCAGGGUACUUUGGCGUAUUUGACCCAGGUGCCUGGGAAGGAAGCCAAACCAGAAGCUGCCUUCAUGUGCACAUCAAAACUGCUCUGGCUCCAUCUGGGGUGGCCCAGACCAAUUCUAAGUCCUUGUGACAGGGACAUUGUUGGGGAGACCAGACCUCCUCUGAAAUAAAACCUUUGAACUGCUUAUAGCGCAAGGGCGC